AGAGUUUGAUCCUGGCUCAGGAUGAACGCUAGCGGCAGGCUUAACACAUGCAAGUCGAGGGGCAGCGAGGGUAGCAAUACCUGUCGGCGACCGGCGCAAGGGGGUGCGUAACGCGUGAGCAACAUGCCCGUAUCAGGGGGAUAAUCCAGGGAAACUUGGUCUAAUACCCCAUAGUAAUUUUUGUAGGCAUCUAUAGAAAUUUAAAGCUUUGGUGGAUACGGAUUGGCUCGCGUGACAUUAGCUGGAUGGUAGGGUAACGGCCUACCAUGGCUACGAUGUCUAGGGGUUCUGAGAGGAUUACCCCCCACACUGGUACUGAGACACGGACCAGACUCCUACGGGAGGCAGCAGUGAGGAAUAUUGGUCAAUGGGCGCAAGCCUGAACCAGCCAUCCCGCGUGCAGGAUGACGGCCCUAUGGGUUGUAAACUGCUUUUGUACCUGAAGAAUAGGCCCAACGAGUUGGGAUUUGCCGGUAAGGUAUGAAUAAGCAUCGGCUAACUCCGUGCCAGCAGCCGCGGUAAUACGGAGGAUGCAAGCGUUAUCCGGAUUCAUUGGGUUUAAAGGGUGCGCAGGUGGGAAAAUAAGUCAGUGGUGAAAGUUCGGAGCUUAACGGUAGAAUUGCCAUUGAUACUGAAGAGCUUGAGUACAGUUGAGGUAAGCGGAAUGUGUAGUGUAGCGGUGAAAUGCUUAGAUAUUACACAGAACACCGAUUGCGAAGGCAGCUUACUAAGCCAUUACUGACGCUGAGGCACGAAAGCGUGGGGAUCGAACAGGAUUAGAUACCCUGGUAGUCCACGCCGUAAACGAUGAUCACUCGCUGUUGGGGGUUAACAGUCAGCUGCCAAGCGAAAGCAUUAAGUGAUCCACCUGGGGAGUACGAUCGCAAGGUUGAAACUCAAAGGAAUUGACGGGGGCCCGCACAAGCGGAGGAACAUGUGGUUUAAUUCGAUGAUACGCGAGGAACCUUACCUGGGCUUAAAUGUAGGCUGCAUUCGGCUGAAAGGCUGAUUCCCUUCGGGGCUGCUUACAAGGUGCUGCAUGGUUGUCGUCAGCUCGUGCCGUGAGGUGUCGGGUUAAGUCCCAUAACGAGCGCAACCCUUAUCGUUAGUUGCCAGCGGGUUAAGCCGGGGACUCUAACGAAACUGCCACCGUAAGGUGAGAGGAAGGUGGGGAUGACGUCAAAUCAGCACGGCCCUUAUGUCCAGGGCUACACACGUGUUACAAUGGCCGAUACAAAGGGCAGCUACUCCGCGAGGAGAUGCUAAUCUCUAAAGUCGGUCCCAGUUCGGAUUGGAGUCUGCAACCCGACUCCAUGAAGUUGGAUUCGCUAGUAAUCGCGCAUCAGCCAUGGCGCGGUGAAUACGUUCCCGGGCCUUGUACACACCGCCCGUCAAACCAUGGGAGCUGGGGGUGCCUGAAGCCGGUA
rnacentral:rRNA from 1 species